GUUGAGGCUCAGUGGUAGAGCACUUGCCUAGCAUGUAUGAGGCACUGGGUUCAAUUCUCAGCACCACA
rnacentral:tRNA from 1 species